CCCUUAGAUGUUCUGGGCCGCACGCGCGCUACACUGACGAAUGCAACGAGCUUAUAACCUUGGCCGAAAGGUCUGGGUAAUCUCCAAAUUUCGUCGUGAUGGGGAUAGAUUAUUGCAAUUAUUAAUCUUCAACGAGGAAUGCCUAGUAAGCGCAAGUCAUCAGCUUGCGUUGAUUACGUCCCUACCCUUUGUACACACCGCCCGUCGCUCCUACCGAUUGAAUGGUCCGGUGAAGCGCUCGGACCGCGGCCUCUUGACGGUUCGCUGUCGAUUGGCUGUGGGAAGUUCGUUAAACCUUAUCAUUUAGAGGAAGGAGAAGUCGUAACA
rnacentral:rRNA from 1 species